rnacentral:rRNA from 1 species
CCUACGGGUGGCAGCAGUGGGGAAUAUUGGGCAAUGGGCGAAAGCCUGACGCAGCAACGCCGCGUGAAGGAAGAAGGCUUUCGGGUUGUAAACUUCUUUUGACAGGGAAGAGCAGAAGACGGUACCAGUUGAAUAAGCCACGGCUAACCACGUGCCAGCAGCCGCUGUAAUACGUAGGUGGCAAGCGUUGUCCGGUUUCACUGGGUGUAAAGGGCGUGUAGCCGGGCUGACAAGUCAGAUGUGAAAUCCGGGGGCUCAACCCCCGAACUGCAUUUGAAACUGUUUGUCUUGAGUAUCGGAGAGGCAGGCGGAAUUCCUAGUGUAGCGGUGAAAUGCGUAGAGAUUAAGAGGAACACCAGUGGCGAAGGCGACCUGCUAGACGACAACUGACGGUGAGGCGCGAAAGCGUGGGGAGCAAACAGGAUUAGAUACCCCUGUAGUC